GGAACGUCAGGCACUGGCUAGACGGACACCAAGCCCAGAAUGUCUCUGCAGCAGGUGAAAGAGGACCCCAGAGUUCAAGGGUCAAGGCCAAAGGGGGGACCGAGGGGCCAGUCUCUCUCUCUCUCUUUGUAAGUGCGUGUGUAGGGCCACCACUCUGUCUGGGUCUAGCCGGAUGCUAAUGGAUGUUCAGGGCUGUUUAAUAAGCAGUAGCCAUCUUUUGUUUGGAGAGAGCUCCUCCUCUCAGAGCUCCUCUUUCAGACGAGGAGAUGGUCAGACUGGCUGCUGCUGCAGGGAUGGGGGUGAAGAGGUCCUCCAUCAUCUGCAGUCACUCAGACCCUCUGGAAUAACAGACAGGCAGACUGCCUCAGACGAAGGAAGGCGCUGGAUUGGACCAACCGGAUCACAAGACCUUGUGGAGCUCUCCCAUUGGUUCACCUAAGAAAAGAGCGGGAAAAAUACUCCUUUGACUUCAAGCUUUCUAUGAAGAUUCAUGGAAUGUUGCAUAACAUGGACAUCUAAAACGGGACAAAAUCACAAUACAGAAAUUGCCUCUUCAAUAUUGCUAUUUAAUUUUUAUGUACACUCACCUCCGUUUAUCAUAGCUGACUGUUGCUUUCUGUUCUCUGAAACCAUUCUAUUUGUUUUAUUGUUGCAAUGAUCACAUAUAAUUAGUUUCGUUUUUUAAAGAUUUUUUUCUGAAAAAAAUCAGUGUGUAUGUAUAAUAUCUAAUUGAUGCCGAGUACAGUAAUAAUAGAACAGAGAAAUAUAUCAAUAAAACUGCUUUGUUUUCUGAAAGCAUUUUGAAUCUUCUUUUUUUUAUAUAUGUCAAAUAAUGUUUUGACUCGUGGCUUUAGUUAAUGAUCACCUCCAAAGAGGUAUAUUUGUAAUUUAGCAAAGAAAACCACCUCUGUUUUGAAUUCAAAUUCCACUUCACAUAUCACAUGCAAUAGAAUAAAUAUAGUAAUCAGAGACUUUAACACCCAGUAGAACCCAGCUUCAUAAAUGAAUACUGAAUCUCAAUGGAAGAAAGGAAUAGUCAAAUCUCUAUGGAGCUGACUCUGCCAGUCCAGCAGGCAUUGCUGGCAUUACCCAAUACCAGUGGUGUAAAGUACUUUAGUAAAAAAAUACUUUAACGCACUACUUAAGUAGUUUUUUGGGGUACCUGUACAUUACUUUAAAUUUUUUGACAACUCUGACUUUUACUCCACUACAUUCCUAAAAAAAUAAUGUACUUCUUACUCCUGACAUUUUCCCUGACACACAAAAGUACUCCUUACAUGUUUAAUGCUUAGCAGGACAGGAAAAUUGUCUAAUUCACUUAUCAAGAGAACAUCCCUGGCCACCCCUACUGCCUCUGAUCUGGCAGACUCACUAAACACAAAUGCUUCGUUUGUAAAUUAUGUCUGACUGUUGAAGUGUGCCCUUGGCUAUCCGUAAAUUUUAAAAAUAAGAAAAUUGUGCCUUCUGGGUUGCAUAAUAUACGGAAUCUAAAAUGAUUUAUACUUUUACUUUC
rnacentral:lncRNA from 13 species